rnacentral:ncRNA from 1 species
GAUCGAGAGACCCCGGUGGGACGGGGUCGAGAAUGGAUCUGAUCCACGCCGUCACUGACGCGACGUGCCGGGGCCCGACGGUAUG